rnacentral:rRNA from 1 species
UACAGAGGUCUCAAGCGUUGUUCGGAUUCAUUGGGCGUAAAGGGUGCGUAGGCGGCGCGGUAAGUCGGGGGUGAAAUCUUGGAGCUUAACUCCGAAACUGCAUUCGAUACUGCCGUGCUUAAGGACUGGAGAGGAGACUGGAAUUUACGGUGUAGCGGUGAAAUGCGUAGAUAUCGUAAGGAAGACCAGUGGCGAAGGCGGGUCUCUGGACAGUUCCUGACGCUGAGGCACGAAGGUCAGGGGAGCAAACGGG